GAUGAACGCUGGCGGCGUGCUUAACACAUGCAAGUCGAACGAUGAGGCCCAGCUUGCGUGGUGUGUUAGUGUCGAACAGGGGAGUAACACGUGAGUAACCCCCGCUUUACUCUGGGAUAUGCCUUCAGGACAGUGUGGAUUACAGCGUAUAGCAGCUCAUCCCGUGGGGGGGGGGUUGGAGAUUUAUCGGUCUUGGAUGGACUCGCGGCCUAUCAGCUUUUUGGUGAGGUAUUGGCUCACCAAGGCGCCGACGGGUAGCCGGCCUGAGAGGGUGACCGGCCACAUUGGGACUGAGACACGGCCCAGACUCCUACGGGAGGCAGCAGUGGGGAAUAUUGCACAAUGGGCGGAAGCCUGAUGCAGCGACGCCGCGUGCGGGAUGACGGCCUUCGGGUUGUAAACCUCUUUCGGUAGGGAAGAAGCGAGAGUGACGGUAACGGGAAAAGAAGCGCCGGCUAACUACGUG
rnacentral:rRNA from 1 species